ACUCCAGGAGCUGAAUUAUAAAUUGAAAGUGCAGGUUGUCUUUGAUAAAGACGUGAAUGAGAAGAACACUGUAAAAGGGUUUAGAAAAUUUAACAUCUUGGGGACGAAUACUAAAGUGAUGAACAUGGAGGAGUCAAACGGCAGUCUGUCGGCAGAAUUCAGACAUCUGCAAUUAAAGGAGCAGAAAAAUGUCUGCAGAACUAAUGAGG